AUGGAUUGCUUUUCUAAUGCGAAGUAAAAUCUUUGAGAGAUUAUUUUUGAUGCAUGGUGACGGUGACUGCGUGGAUUUCAUGGAGCUGAAUGAACAUGAAGAUUUGGAGACCCUGCAGUCCCACGGUGCAGCGUGGCUGUCCGCAGUGUGAGCUUCUGCGAGCCACACGGGUCUGACUGCGGAGGCGUUGUCUGGAAAACUGGUUUUCUUAGCACAUAGACCUGGUUGGCAUUAUCUAAUCCCAGCAGGACAGGCUCUCCUUAUUUUUCCACACUAAAACAUAUAAAUGCAAAUUGAGGUUUUUAAAAUUUCUUUAUUCCAGUCUGAUGUAAUGCCUCAGUUUUUUUCAAAUUGCUCUUUAAAACCAAAUACAGAGAAAAUACACAGGAG
rnacentral:lncRNA from 1 species